ensembl:lncRNA
CCCCCCCCCCCCCCAUGAGGCUGAGGAGGUAAAUCACUCUUUGUAAGAGUGUGAAGGUAUGUGUAGGCCUGUAAUUCCGAUUUUUGGCUUUGGUAACAUGUUCGCCGUCUUUAUUAUUUAAGAUGUUUUUUCCUUUCAGAUAUUCUUUAUUGCACGUUUCACAUCAAUGCAGUUCACCAAUAACUCAAAAGCACACGGCUGCAACCACUAGCUCUUAGGAGUCACAUUACACUUAAAUUAAGAGGCAGGCUUCUCCCUAAACACAGUGUAUUUCCUUCAUUUGGAGCCAAGAAUUACUCGCCAAGAAUUACUGUUUCCUCACCAUGUUACCUUGUGUGGAGUUGCAUCGGAGGUCAUAUCGGCCCCUCUUGCCCUAUGGUGGAUUUUUUGGCUGCUGUCUAAAGAGAUAUUUAAGUCCUUCAAAGUAAAAGCAUCCCAGAAAGGCCACUUUCUUCACAUCUGUCUGGCCUACGCGCCACAUGUGGGAGGGGCUGAUGAAGCUUAAAGGGCUUCACAGAGCGGGAUCAUGACUUUCCUUGCGCGUUAGCCGAGGACACACUCGCAGGUUAAUUGUGUGCUUCCGAACUGGGUGCAAAGUUUGCAGAAGGCCAUUUCCUCGACGGGACAACGCCCUGGAGCACAAAGCCUGCUCCUUAAACAAAUAAUCCCCUACAGCGUGCAGACAGAGUCGGCAUUGCCUGCACCGCGCUGUGACCUCAGCGCCGUCCAACGGCCUUCUGAGACCGAGCGGAAAGCCGCUUCAUCCCCAAACAUCAGCGGCCGAAGGGGAGCGGAUCUCUACAGCCGGGGUCCAAGGCCUCGUGGAAGAGCGGGGGCCGUUUCAGCUGCAGGUCAAUGCCCAACGGCACGCUGCAGAGUCGACUCCUGGCGACGCGCAUUUCGUCUUAUGUCUCUUUUGGCCUGGCAGCUUGAGGGCGGAGAGCAGCUUCUCCUCGUCGGCUCUGCGCAGCCAGAUGAACGGCUGCCACAAAACUAAGCUCAGAGCGGAGAGCAGACAUCUCCAAAUAUCUCCAGGCAUCGGCUUCAGCGCUCUCCAGGAGCCGCAGGAUUCAGAACUCCCAAAUGUGCUCUGCAGGAAGCGAGCCAUGAGCAGUAUUAGUUUACAUGAAAGGGACGUCUUGAACUAUUUAAGUGUUUCGAUAAAUUUGGAAUGUCAAAAUCAUAAAUGUAACUGAGCCUUUCGGUAACCAAAGUUAUGGAGAUGAUUAGGACGGGAUACAAAAACACAAUGUAAUAUGAUGAGAUACAGUUGUAAACAGACUUUCAGCAGUAAUGUGAGUUUGUUGAAGUAAACAUUAAAUCAUUUUAAAUCUCCAGUAGACACUGAGCCCUGCUCCCCCAAGAUGCGCUGAUGUUACCCUAUUUGUUUUUCACAAAUGGGGGGGGGAGAGAAGAUACUCACAGCAUGGGGCAGUUUCCGAUAACCAAAGCCUCUGGGUUAGUCUUCCCCCCC